rnacentral:rRNA from 1 species
UACGUAGGGUGCGAGCGUUAAUCGGAAUUACUGGGCGUAAAGCGUGCGUAGGCGGCUUUGCAAGACAGAUGUGAAAUCCCCGGGCUUAACCUGGGAAUGGCAUUUGGGACUGCAAGGCUGGAGUUUGGCAGAGGAGACUGGAAUUCCCGGUGUAGCAGUGAAAUGCGUAGAUAUCGGGAGGAAUACCGAUGGCGAAGGCAGGUCUCUGGGCUAUAACUGACGCUCAUGCACGAAAGCGUGGGGAGCAAACAGG